rnacentral:rRNA from 1 species
AUACGGAGGGGGCUAGCGUUGUCCGGAUUUACUGGGCGUAAAGCGCGCGUAGGCGGAUGAUCAAGUUGAGGGUGAAAGCCCGGAGCUCAACUCCGGAACUGCCCUCAAAACUGAUUGUCUUGAGUUCGGGAGAGGUGAGUGGAAUUCCUAGUGUAGAGGUGAAAUUCGUAGAUAUUAGGAAGAACACCAGUGGCGAAGGCGGCUCACUGGCCCGAUACUGACGCUGAGGUGCGAAAGCGUGGGGAGCAAACAGGAUUAGAUACCCCAGUAGUCC